AUGUAUGAUUCAACUUUCCUACAUAUUGAGAGAGACCUAGGAUAAAUCCAGAAAAUCUUCUUGCUCCAUCGGAUAUCCUUCAACAAGAAAAGAAAGUGAGCUCUUUAGCAAAUACCACUCAAGGUUCAAUUCAAAAUUAUCAGCACGUAUACCGAAGAGAGUUAAAGAACAUCAAGAUUCAUGUAUCAGUAGGACACUUGAAAAACAAAACUGGAGCAAUUGAAAGUGAGAGGAAAAUGGGGAUUCAUGCCAUGUAAAUUCUUCAACAAAUACUCGGUACUAGAUGAUGAAUUUUGAAGAAAUUCAAAAGUAGGGAAUUCUCGGCUGAAAGAACAGAAAAGAUUCAAAACUUCCAAUAAAGGAAGCCAUGAAGGAGACAAUGGAAAGAGUUCCAUUGUUGAAGGAAAUUGUCGAUCAGUACAGCGGACCAGAUAGGGUAACUGCAAAGAAACAACAAGAAGAGUUGGAAAGAGUUGCAAAAACUCUUCCUGCAAAAGUACCUGAUUCUGUAAAGCAGUUCACUGAUCGCGUGGUGCUUUCUCUCCAGGGCAACCCUGGCUGGGGAUUUCACAGGAAAUGCCAGUUCAUGGAUAAGCUAACAGAAAAGGUUUCGAGGCACUACAAGUGACCGUGGAAUGGUCAGUUCCUAAUACUUAAUGAUGAACAUGCCUCAUAAUGCAGAAAAGAAGUGGUCAAUGAUGCUGUAAACUUUUCAGUUCAAGUUAUUUUGCCCAGAAAUUUUGUACUUGUACCAUUUUUUAGUUGUUACAAAAGAAUAGCUCAGUUCUCUUAGAUUGUUCUCAGCUACGAUCAAAGAAGAAUCGCGGCAUUUGUUUGUAAUAAUUUGUUAUCUAUGCAGCAUAGCACUAGUGAAAUCAUUUUCAGGCAACA